UAGUCAUAUGCUUGUCUCAAAGAUUAAGCCAUGCAUGUCUAAGCACAAGCCGAUUAAUGGUGAGGCCGCGAAUGGCUCAUUACAACAGCCAUAGUUUCUUAGAUCUUACUUUUCUACUUGGAUAACUGUGGUAAUUCUAGAGCUAAUACACGCAAACAAGCUCAGACCUUACGGAAUGAGCGCAUUUAUUAGAACAAAAACCAAUCGGGCUUCGGUCCGUCAUUUGGUGAAUCUGAAUAACUUUGCUGAUCGCACGGUCUUCGUACCGGCGACAUAUCUUUCAAAUGUCUGCCUUAUCAACUUUCGAUGGUAGUUUAUGCGCCUACCAUGGUUGUAACGGGUAACGGAGAAUAAGGGCUCGACUCCGGAGAGGGAGCCUGAGAAACGGCUACCACAUCCAAGGAAGGCAGCAGGCACGCAAAUUACCCACUCCCGGCACGGGGAGGUAGUGACGAAAAAUAACGAGACGGCUCGCUAUGCGGUCCGUCAUCGGAAUGGGUACAAUUUAAAUCCUUUAACGAGGAUCUAUU
rnacentral:rRNA from 1 species